rnacentral:rRNA from 1 species
UACACGUGGGUAACCUGCCUGUAAGACUGGGAUAACUCCGGGAAACCGGGGCUAAUACCGGAUGCUUGAUUGAACCGCAUGGUUCAAUCAUAAAAGGUGGCUUUUAGCUACCACUUACAGAUGGACCCGCGGCGCAUUAGCUAGUUGGUGAGGUAACGGCUCACCAAGGCGACGAUGCGUAGCCGACCUGAGAGGGUGAUCGGCCACACUGGGACUGAGACACGGCCCAGACUCCUACGGGAGGCAGCAGUAGGGAAUCUUCCGCAAUGGACGAAAGUCUGACGGAGCAACGCCGCGUGAGUGAUGAAGGUUUUCGGAUCGUAAAACUCUGUUGUUAGGGAAGAACAAGUACCGUUCGAAUAGGGCGGCACCUUGACGGUACCUAACCAGAAAGCCACGGCUAACUACGUGCCAGCAGCCGCGGUAAUACGUAGGUGGCAAGCGUUGUCCGGAAUUAUUGGGCGUAAAGCGCGCGCAGGCGGUUUCUUAAGUCUGAUGUGAAAGCCCCCGGCUCAACCGGGGAGGGUCAUUGGAAACUGGGGAACUUGAGUGCAGAAGAGGAGAGUGGAAUUCCACGUGUAGCGGUGAAAUGCGUAGAGAUGUGGAGGAACACCAGUGGCGAAGGCGACUCUCUGGUCUGUAACUGACGCUGAGGCGCGAAAGCGUGGGGAGCGAACAGGAUUAGAUACCCUGGUAGUCCACGCCGUAAACGAUGAGUGCUAAGUGUUAGAGGGUUUCCGCCCUUUAGUGCUGCAGCAAACGCAUUAAGCACUCCGCCUGGGGAGUACGGUCGCAAGACUGAAACUCAAAGGAAUUGACGGGGGCCCGCACAAGCGGUGGAGCAUGUGGUUUAAUUCGAAGCAACGCGAAGAACCUUACCAGGUCUUGACAUCCUCUGACAACCCUAGAGAUAGGGCUUCCCCUUCGGGGGCAGAGUGACAGGUGGUGCAUGGUUGUCGUCAGCUCGUGUCGUGAGAUGUUGGGUUAAGUCCCGCAACGAGCGCAACCCUUGAUCUUAGUUGCCAGCAUUCAGUUGGGCACUCUAAGGUGACUGCCGGUGACAAACCGGAGGAAGGUGGGGAUGACGUCAAAUCAUCAUGCCCCUUAUGACCUGGGCUACACACGUGCUACAAUGGGCAGAACAAAGGGCAGCGAAGCCGCGAGGCUAAGCCAAUCCCACAAAUCUGUUCUCAGUUCGGAUCGCAGUCUGCAACUCGACUGCGUGAAGCUGGAAUCGCU